rnacentral:rRNA from 1 species
AGCGAACGCUGGCGGCAGGCCUAACACAUGCAAGUCGAGCGCCCCGCAAGGGGAGCGGCAGACGGGUGAGUAACGCGUGGGAACGUACCCUUUGCUACGGAAUAGCUCCGGGAAACUGGAAUUAAUACCGUAUGUGCCCUACGGGGGAAAGAUUUAUCGGCAAAGGAUCGGCCCGCGUUGGAUUAGCUAGUUGGUGGGGUAAUGGCCUACCAAGGCGACGAUCCAUAGCUGGUCUGAGAGGAUGAUCAGCCACAUUGGGACUGAGACACGGCCCAAACUCCUACGGGAGGCAGCAGUGGGGAAUAUUGGACAAUGGGCGCAAGCCUGAUCCAGCCAUGCCGCGUGAGUGAUGAAGGCCUUAGGGUUGUAAAGCUCUUUCACUGGAGAAGAUAAUGACGGUAUCCGGAGAAGAAGCCCCGGCUAACUUCGUGCCAGCAGCCGCCGCGGUAA